rnacentral:rRNA from 1 species
GAUGAACGCUGGCGGCGUGCCUAAUACAUGCAAGUCGAGCGAACAGACGAGGAGCUUGCUCCUCUGAAGUUAGCGGCGGACGGGUGAGUAACACGUGGAUAACCUACCUAUAAGACUGGGAUAACUUCGGGAAACCGGAGCUAAUACCGGAUAACAUGUUGAACUGCAUGGUUCAACAGUGAAAGCCGGUCUUGCUGUCACUUAUAGAUGGAUCCGCGCCGCAUUAGCUAGUUGGUAAGGUAACGGCUUACCAAGGCAACGAUGCGUAGCCGACCUGAGAGGGUGAUCGGCCACACUGGAACUGAGACACGGUCCAGACUCCUACGGGAGGCAGCAGUAGGGAAUCUUCCGCAAUGGGCAAAAGCCUGACGGAGCAACGCCGCGUGAGUGAAGAAGGUCUUCGGAUCGUAAAACUCUGUUAUUAGGGAAGAACAAAUGUGUAAGUAACUAUGCACGUCUUGACGGUACCUAAUCAGAAAGCCACGGCUAACUACGUGCCAGCAGCCGCGGUAAUACGUAGGUGGCAAGCGUUAUCCGGAAUUAUUGGGCGUAAAGCGCGCGUAGGCGGUUUUUUAAGUCUGAUGUGAAAGCCCACGGCUCAACCGUGGAGGGUCAUUGGAAACUGGAAAACUUGAGUGCAGAAGAGGAAAGUGGAAUUCCAUGUGUAGCGGUGAAAUGCGCAGAGAUAUGGAGGAACACCAGUGGCGAAGGCGACUUUCUGGUCUGUAACUGACGCUGAUGUGCGAAAGCGUGGGGAUCGAACAGGAUUAGAUACCCUGGUAGCCCACGCCGUAAACGAUGAGUGCUAAGUGUUAGGGGGUUUCCGCCCCUUAGUGCUGCAGCUAACGCAUUAAGCACUCCGCCUGGGGAGUACGACCGCAAGGUUGAAACUCAAAGGAAUUGACGGGGACCCGCACAAGCGGUGGAGCAUGUGGUUUAAUUCGAAGCAACGCGAAGAACCUUACCAAAUCUUGACAUCCUCUGACCCCUCUAGAGAUAGAGUUUUCCCCUUCGGGGGACAGAGUGACAGGUGGUGCAUGGUUGCCGUCAGCUCGUGUCGUGAGAUGUUGGGUUAAGUCCCGCAACGAGCGCAACCCUUAAGCUUAGUUGCCAUCAUUAAGUUGGGCACUCUAAGUUGACUGCCGGUGACAAACCGGAGGAAGGUGGGGAUGACGUCAAAUCAUCAUGCCCCUUAUGAUUUGGGCUACACACGUGCUACAAUGGACAAUACAAAGGGUAGCGAAACCGCGAGGUCAAGCAAAUCCCAUAAAGUUGUUCUCAGUUCGGAUUGUAGUCUGCAACUCGACUACAUAAAGCUGGAAUCGCUAGUAAUCGUAGAUCAGCAUGCUACGGUGAAUACGUUCCCGGGUCUUGUACACACCGCCCGUCACACCACGAGAGUUUGUAACACCCGAAGCCGGUGGAGUAACCUUUUGGAGCUAGCCGUCGAAGGUGGGACAAAUGAUUGGGGUGAAGUCGUAACAAGGUAGCCGUAUCGGAAGG